rnacentral:rRNA from 1 species
CUAACAAGGAUUCCCCUAGUAGCGGCGAGUGAAGAGGGAAGAGCCCAAGUUUGAAAGCUGGCGUUUGUAUUCAGGCGUCCGCAUUGUAAACUCGAGAAGUGUUAUCCGCGCCGGACCAGGUUCAAGUCCCUUGGAAUAGGGCAUCAUAGAGGGUGAAAGUCCCGUGCUUGAUCUGGAACCCCCGGGGCUUUGUGAUGCGCUCUCAAAGAGUCGAGUUGUUUGGGAAUGCAGCUCAAAAUGGGUGGUAAAUGCCAUCUAAGGCUAAAUAUCGAGGAGAGACCGAUAGCGAACAAGUACCGUGAGGGAAAGAUGAAAAGAACUUUGGAAAGAGAGUUAAACAGUACGUGAAAUUGCCGGAAGGGAAGGGUAGGAAGUCAGACAUGCCUUUGCAGAUUCAGCCUUGUCUUUGGACUUGGUGCAUUUUUGUAAUGGCAGGCCAGCGUCGGUUUAUGUCGCUGGAUAUAGGUUUAGGGAAUGUAGCUUUACCUUCGGGCAAAGUGUUAUAGCCCUUUACUGAGUACGGCGGUGUGGACUGAGGAACGCAGCGCACCCAUUAGGGCGGGCCUUCGGGCACCUUUGCGCUUAGGAUGCUGGCUUAAUGGCUUUCUGC